GAUGAACGCUAGCUACAGGCUUAACACAUGCAAGUCGAGGGGCAGCAUGAACUUAGCUUGCUAAGUUUGAUGGCGACCGGCGCACGGGUGAGUAACACGUAUCCAACCUGCCGAUGACUCGGGGAUAGCCUUUCGAAAGAAAGAUUAAUACCCGAUGGCAUAGUUCUUCCGCAUGGUAGAACUAUUAAAGAAUUUCGGUCAUCGAUGGGGAUGCGUUCCAUUAGGUUGUUGGCGGGGUAACGGCCCACCAAGCCUUCGAUGGAUAGGGGUUCUGAGAGGAAGGUCCCCCCACAUUGGAACUGAGACACGGUCCAAACUCCUACGGGAGGCAGCAGUGAGGAAUAUUGGUCAAUGGACGAGAGUCUGAACCAGCCAAGUAGCGUGAAGGAUGACUGCCCUAUGGGUUGUAAACUUCUUUUAUACGGGAAUAAAGUGAGGCAUGUGUGCCUUUUUGUAUGUACCGUAUGAAUAAGGAUCGGCUAACUCCGUGCCAGCAGCCGACGG
rnacentral:rRNA from 1 species